rnacentral:rRNA from 1 species
AUUGGGGGGGGGGCCUAAUACAUGCAAGUCGAACGAACUCUGGUAUUGAUUGGUGCUUGCAUCAUGAUUUACAUUUGAGUGAGUGGCGAACUGGUGAGUAACACGUGGGAAACCUGCCCAGAAGCGGGGGAUAACACCUGGAAACAGAUGCUAAUACCGCAUAACAACUUGGACCGCAUGGUCCGAGUUUGAAAGAUGGCUUCGGCUAUCACUUUUGGAUGGUCCCGCGGCGUAUUAGCUAGAUGGUGGGGUAACGGCUCACCAUGGCAAUGAUACGUAGCCGACCUGAGAGGGUAAUCGGCCACAUUGGGACUGAGACACGGCCCAAACUCCUACGGGAGGCAGCAGUAGGGAAUCUUCCACAAUGGACGAAAGUCUGAUGGAGCAACGCCGCGUGAGUGAAGAAGGGUUUCGGCUCGUAAAACUCUGUUGUUAAAGAAGAACAUAUCUGAGAGUAACUGUUCAGGUAUUGACGGUAUUUAACCAGAAAGCCACGGCUAACUACGUGCCAGCAGCCGCGGUAAUACGUAGGUGGCAAGCGUUGUCCGGAUUUAUUGGGCGUAAAGCGAGCGCAGGCGGUUUUUUAAGUCUGAUGUGAAAGCCUUCGGCUCAACCGAAGAAGUGCAUCGGAAACUGGGAAACUUGAGUGCAGAAGAGGACAGUGGAACUCCAUGUGUAGCGGUGAAAUGCGUAGAUAUAUGGAAGAACACCAGUGGCGAAGGCGGCUGUCUGGUCUGUAACUGACGCUGAGGCUCGAAAGUAUGGGUAGCAAACAGGAUUAGAUACCCUGGUAGUCCAUACCGUAAACGAUGAAUGCUAAGUGUUGGAGGGUUUCCGCCCUUCAGUGCUGCAGCUAACGCAUUAAGCAUUCCGCCUGGGGAGUACGGCCGCAAGGCUGAAACUCAAAGGAAUUGACGGGGGCCCGCACAAGCGGUGGAGCAUGUGGUUUAAUUCGAAGCUACGCGAAGAACCUUACCAGGUCUUGACAUACUAUGCAAAUCUAAGAGAUUAGACGUUCCCUUCGGGGACAUGGAUACAGGUGGUGCAUGGUUGUCGUCAGCUCGUGUCGUGAGAUGUUGGGUUAAGUCCCGCAACGAGCGCAACCCUUAUUAUCAGUUGCCAGCAUUAAGUUGGGCACUCUGGUGAGACUGCCGGUGACAAACCGGAGGAAGGUGGGGAUGACGUCAAAUCAUCAUGCCCCUUAUGACCUGGGCUACACACGUGCUACAAUGGAUGGUACAACGAGUUGCGAACUCGCGAGAGUAAGCUAAUCUCUUAAAGCCAUUCUCAGUUCGGAUUGUAGGCUGCAACUCGCCUACAUGAAGUCGGAAUCGCUAGUAAUCGCGGAUCAGCAUGCCGCGGUGAAUACGUUCCCGGGCCUUGUACACACCGCCCGUCACACCAUGAGAGUUUGUAACACCCAAAGUCGGUGGGGUAACCUUUUAGGAACCAGCCGCCUUAAAGGUGGGACCG